UACGUAGGUGGCAAGCGUUGUUCGGAAUUACUGGGCGUAAAGGCGCGCGUAGGCGGUGAACUUUGUCAGAGGUGAAAUCCCGAGGCUCAACUUCGGAAUUGCCUUUGAAACGGGUUCGCUUGAGUCCGAGAGAGGAUGGCGGAAUUCCUAGUGUAGAGGUGAAAUUCGUAGAUAUCGGGAGGAACACCGGUGGCGAAGGCGGCGACCUGGGUAGAUACUGACGCUGAGGUGCGAAAGCGUGGGGAGCAAACAGG
rnacentral:rRNA from 1 species